rnacentral:rRNA from 1 species
GAUGAACGCUAGCGGCAGGCUUAACACAUGCAAGUCGAGGGGCAGCAUAGAGUAGCAAUACUUUGAUGGCGACCGGCGCACGGGUGCGUAACGCGUAUGCAACCUACCCAUAACAGGGGGAUAACACUGAGAAAUUGGUACUAAUAUCCCAUAACAUCAGAAGGGGCAUCCCUUUUGGUUGAAAACUCCGGUGGUUAUGGAUGGGCAUGCGUUGUAUUAGCUAGUUGGUGAGGUAACGGCUCACCAAGGCGACGAUACAUAGGGGGACUGAGAGGUUAACCCCCCACAUUGGUACUGAGACACGGACCAAACUCCUACGGGAGGCAGCAGUGAGGAAUAUUGGUCAAUGGACGCAAGUCUGAACCAGCCAUGCCGCGUGCAGGAAGACGGCUCUAUGAGUUGUAAACUGCUUUUGUACUAGGGUAAACCCGGUUACGUGUAACCGGCUGAAAGUAUAGUACGAAUAAGGAUCGGCUAACUCCGUGCCAGCCGCCGCCGUAACAC